AGAGUUUGAUUAUGGCUCAGGACGAACGCUGGCGGCAUGCCUAAUACAUGCAAGUCGAACGAACAUCUUCGGAAUGUUAGUGGCGAACGGGUGAGUAACACGUAAGUAACCAACCCAUUAGACGAGGAUAACUACUGGAAACGGUAGCUAAUACUGGAUAGGACGAAAGUUUAAAGAUCCUUUAUAGGAUUACUAAUGGAUGGGCUUGCGGCGCAUUAGCUAGUUGGUGGGGUAAGAGCCUACCAAGGCAACGAUGCGUAGCCGACCUGAGAGGGUGACCGGCCACACUGGGACUGAGACACGGCCCAGACUCCUACGGGAGGCAGCAGUAGGGAAUCUUCGGCAAUGGACGAAAGUCUGACCGAGCAAUGCCGCGUGGAAGUGAAGAAGGUCUUCGGAUCGUAAAGCUCUGUUAUUGGGGAAGAAAGGAAAUAAGAGGAAAUGCUUAUUUUGUGACGGUACCUAAUGAGAAAGCCACGGCUAACUACGUGCCAGCAGCAGC
rnacentral:rRNA from 1 species